rnacentral:rRNA from 1 species
GACGAACGCUGGCGGCGUGCUUAACACAUGCAAGUCGAACGGAAAGGCCUCUUUCGGGGGGUACUCGAGUGGCGAACGGGUGAGUAACACGUGAGUAACCUGCCCUUGACUUUGGGAUAACUUCAGGAAACAGGGGCUAAUACCGGAUAGGAGCUCCUGCUGCAUGGUGGGGGUUGGAAAGUUUCGGCGGUUGGGGAUGGACUCGCGGCUUAUCAGCUUGUUGGUGGGGUAGUGGCUUACCAAGGCUUUGACGGGUAGCCGGCCUGAGAGGGUGACCGGCCACAUUGGGACUGAGAUACGGCCCAGACUCCUACGGGAGGCAGCAGUGGGGAAUAUUGCACAAUGGGUGGAAGCCUGAUGCAGCAACGCCGUGUGCGGGAUGACGGCCUUCGGGUUGUAAACCGCUUUCGCUCAUGACGAAGCUUUGUGUGACGGUAGUGGGUAAAGAAGCACCGGCUAACUACGUG